AGUGAACGCUGGCGGUAGGCCUAACACAUGCAAGUCGAACGGCAGCACAGUAAGAGCUUGCUCUUACGGGUGGCGAGUGGCGGACGGGUGAGGAAUACAUCGGAAUCUACUUUUUCGUGGGGGAUAACGUAGGGAAACUUACGCUAAUACCGCAUACGACCUACGGGUGAAAGCAGGGGAUCUUCGGACCUUGCGCGAUUGAAUGAGCCGAUGUCGGAUUAGCUAGUUGGCGGGGUAAAGGCCCACCAAGGCGACGAUCCGUAGCUGGUCUGAGAGGAUGAUCAGCCACACUGGAACUGAGACACGGUCCAGACUCCUACGGGAGGAAGCAGUGGGGAAUAUUGGACAAUGGGCGCAAGCCUGAUCCAGCCAUACCGCGUGGGUGAAGAAGGCCUUCGGGUUGUAAAGCCCUUUUGUUGGGAAAGAAAAGCAGCAGGUUAAUACCCCGCUGUUCUGACGGUACCCAAAGGAUAAGCACGGGCUAACUUCGUG
rnacentral:rRNA from 1 species